GAAUUAUUCCACAGGGCCUGAAUUAAAUUCAUUUGUUUUUCUCUGUAUUCAAUUGAUGCAAUUGUUUCUCAGUAGUAGGGUGUGUUUACUUUUAUCCACCUAUGACAAUCCCUCCCAGCCUUGUCUGUUUUUCUUCAUGUAAUUUCCUUUUUUUUCCCCCUGCCGGCCACGAUCUCUUUUUUCCUUUUGAGAUCCCGGAGACCUCCCCUCGCAAACCUCCCUUCUGCAUUACGUGCUACCGGUCGAUCCUGCUUCUCUCUCUCUCUCUUUCCUCUCCCCUCUGCCUUUCUCUCCAGCUUCAUUCCAUACCAGAGCUAAUUCCUGAAAUUCCAACCUUCAUUGCGCUCCAAACGACAUAGGAAGGGGGGGGGGAGGGACAAAACUCCGCUAUUCCAUUCAAAAUCUAUACCCCCAAAUCAAUUUUACCUGGCAGCUCCCAGCUCUUUGUUCUUAAGUUUCAACAGAUGCACAGAAUCUAUUUCUACAUCUUGUACCUGAAAGGAGCGCAAAACUGGACACCACAUGAAAAUAUCUUGAAAGAAAUCAGCUGACUGUGCUAUCGUCCAAGUGUAGUUAAGUUAUUCGUCUACAGGACCAUUAACCCCUCCAUCUUAUCUGCAUACAAAUAGGCAAAAAGAAAUCAUGACCAGCACAUCAGGACAAGUACUACACCACCCCUUUCGAAGUUAAGUAUUUGUGAAGGAGCUAUGCUGCCGAUGUUAUAAAUAUUUACAGUAGUAUUGUAUUAAAACUGCAGCAUUUGCCAGAGAUAUUAACUUCUGGUCUUGGCGUCCUGCUGUCAUCCAGUUUUUAUUUUGGUAACUUGUCAUUCUCAAUGAGUAAAAAAAAAUUGGAAACAGC